rnacentral:rRNA from 1 species
CCUCCAUUAGUGUAUACUAAAGUUGCUGCAGUUAAAAAGCUCGUAGUUGGAUUUCGGUUAAUGAAAAGUUAGUCCACUUAAUUAUAAGUGCGUACUGACGUUUUAUUUCCUUCUUUUCAGAUAUACAACUUGUUGUGUUCUGAAUCUUUUACUUUGAGAAAAUUAGAGUGUUCAAAGCAGGCGUAACCAAGCCUUUGAAUAUAUUAGCAUGGGAUAAUGGAAUAAGACUUUUUGCCUUAUUUUCGUUGGUUCUUGAGGCUAAAGUAAUGAUUAAUAGGGAUAGUUGGGGUCAUUAGUAUUUAAUUGUCAGAGGUGAAAUUCUAAGAUUUAUUAAAGACUAACUACUGCGAAAGCAUUUGACAAGGAUGUUUUUCAUUAAUCAAGAACGAAAGUUGGGGGAUCGAAGAUGAUCAAUACCGUCGUAGUCUCAACCAUAAACUAUGCCGACCAAGGAUUCGGGGGUGUUAUAUGAAUGACCCUCCGGGCACUUAUAGAGAAAUCAUAAGUAUUUGGGUUCCGGGGGGAGUAUGGUCGCAAGGCUGAAACUUAAAGGAAUUGACGGAAGGGCACCACCAGGAGUGGAAUAUGCGGUUUAAUUUGACCCAACACGGGAAAACUUACCAGGUCCAGACACAGUGAGGAUUGACAGAUUGAGAGCUCUUUCUUGAUUUUGUGGGUGGUGGUGCAUGGCCGUUUCUAGUUGGUGGAGUGAUUUGUCUGGUUAAUUCCGUUAACGAACGAGACCUUAACCUAUUAAAUAGUUACACAUACUUGGGAUUCGUCCUAAUAGUAUGUGGUUAACUUCUUAGAGGGACUCUUCACGUAAAGAGUGAAUGGAAGUUUGAGGCAAAAACAGGUCUGUGAUGCCCUUAGAUGUUCUGGGCUACACGCGUGUUACACUGAUAUAUUCAACAAGCAUUAUAAUUCCUUACCCGAUGGGGUUGGGUAAUCUUUUAAAUGUAUAUCGUGAUGGGGAUAGACCAUUGUAAUUAUUGGUCUUGAACGAGGAAUUCCUAGUAAGUGCAAGUCAUUAGCUUGCGCUGAUUACGUCCCUGCCCUUUGUACACACCGCCCGUCGCUCCUACCGAUGAAUGGUCCGGUGAGGACUCAGGAUGACCGUGGAUUUUGGUUAUACCAUGCCAUUGUUUGUCAGAAUCUGUUCAAACCUUAUCAUUUAAAGGAAGGAGAAGUCGUAACAAGGUUUCCGUAGGUACCUGCGGAAG